AGGUUUUUAUUAACUUGGUGGUUUUAGCAGAUCCCAUCUCGAAUUCGGAAGUGAAACUUUUUAGCGCUGAUGGUACUUGAAAAGGGAGAGUAGGUCGCUGCCAAGUUU